ACUAACACCCUGAAAGAUGUUACAAAACAGAUGAAAAGACGUUACAAGCAAAUCAAACAGCACACUAAAGCCACUUAAAGAUGAAAAGCAAACAGCCACACACAACUAAAUAACAAACAGAUAUUAAAAUGCCUAAAACAAAACCCACAGUAAAAAACUAUAAACGAACCAAAAUAGAGCCUUCCCCUAAACUACCAUAGAGAGAAACCAGAGAAAUACCAGCCAAAACCUCUUCAAACAAAGCUAAAAAACCAUCAACCAUAGUAGAAGAGGCAAAAGCUUGAGAGAAACAAGACCGUGGAGAUUCAGAGUGAACCUUUUCCAUUCUCAAGCUUCUGAAAAAAAAACCUUAAUAUUAUCGAAUAUUGGCAAAUCCAGUUGUUCCAGUCCACAAUUGUCAUCUUCUCAACUGGAUCUAGGGCUUUUUCAACCCAAAAACAUGGUGCUUGAUACCGAUGUCCCUUCUUAGCCAACAUAUGGGCAGCCUUAUUUACUUCUCUUGAAAUGAAAUGAAAUCUUAAGGAAACCCAUUUCAGCUGCAAAGAGUAAGACUCUCUCGCAAGCCCUAGCUUCUGCCACAAAAGCAUCUUGGACUCCAUCAUAAGGGUAAGCACAGGACCCCAUAAUCUGACCUUUGUUAUUUCAAGCCAGAACUGCUGCAAUUGAAGUGUAUGUAUCUGUAUUAAAAGAAGCACCAAAGUUUAGUUUAAUAACAUCAGUAUUUGGAGGUCGCCAUAGUUCCUUCAUCAUAGGUUUCAUAAAAUGAAAAGGAUUCUAAGUCUGAUUUAGCUCCUGCAUGUACCCCUAUAUAAAUCCCAAAAUAUCUUGACAGAACCUUUCUGUCCUUCAUAAACCAACUUGUUUCUUCUAAACCAAAGAGCCUAGUAAGAUAUAGCCAUUAGCAUUCGCUGUCUUUUAUUCUUUACAAUAAACAUUUGUGCUAACCAAUCUUUAUAAUUUGAGGAAUCCACCCUUUGGUUACUCAAAAUUUGUAAGUGUUUCCACAAUUGCUGAAGUACUUGACAAGUCUAACUCAGAUGAUUAGCAUCCUCCAAUGGGUUGUUGCACAGUGGACACAAAACAUCUCCGGUCAAUCUACACUUGGCUAAAUUGAUGAAAUGAGGCAAAAAAUUAUUAAACAGUCUUCACACAUGUAUAUUUAUUUUUUCUGGUAGUUGUAAUUUCCAUAGAGAGUUGUAAAAUUCUUUGUAAAUGUGGGGUGUAGCAGUAGGAAUCUGAUUAGUAGAAUGUAGAUGUUCUGAAAUUAGGACUUUUUACCCACUUUUUACUGCGUAUUCCCCGGUUGCCUCAUGCCUCCAGCCCAACAUGUCAUUUAAUCGUAUACAAGAGAGAGGGAUCUUGAAGAUACGCUCAGCUUGAUUGGUGCCAAAUAUGUCUAAAAUUUUAGCCUUCUUCCAGGUAAUUGUUUCUUUAUCAAUCAACUAACUUACAGUUAUCCAAUAA